rnacentral:rRNA from 1 species
CCUACGGGUGGCAGCAGUGAGGAAUAUUGGUCCAUGGACGAGAGUCUGAACCAGCCAAGCCGCGUGAAGGAGGACUGCCCUAUGUGUUGUAAACCUCUUUUAUAAAGGAAUAAAACUAGGUACGUGUCCCCUUUUGCAUGUACUUUACGAAUAAGGAUCGGCUACCUCCGUGCCAGCAGCCGCGGUAAUACGGAGGCUCCCAGCGUUAUUCGGAUUUAUUGGGUGUAAAGGGUGCGUAGGUGGAUUUGCAAGUUCGAUGUGAAAGCCUGCGGCUUAACCGUGGAAAUGCAAUCAAGACUGGCAGUAUAGAGUGCAGUUGAGGUAGGCGGAAUUCGAAGUGUAGCGGUGAAAUGCUUAGAUAUUAGGAAGAACACCGAUUGCGAAGGCAGCUUACUGAGAUGUAACUGACGUUGAUGCACGAAAGUGUGGGGAGCAAACAGGAUUAGAUACCCGAGUAGUC